AAUUCAUGUCUAGUAUAGCAUUAUACCGUGAAACUGCGAAUGGCUCAUUAAAUCAGUUAUCGUUUAUUUGAUAAUACCUUACUACUUGGAUAACCGUGGUAAUUCUAGAGCUAAUACAUGCUAAAAAUCCCGACUUCGGAAGGGAUGUGUUUAUUAGAUAAAAAACCAAUGCCCUUCGGGGCUUCUUGGUGAUUCAUGAUAACUUUACGGAUCGCAUAGCCUUGCGCUGGCGACGGUUCAUUCAAAUUUCUGCCCUAUCAACUUUCGAUGGUAAGGUAUUGGCUUACCAUGGUUUCAACGGGUAACGGGGAAUUAGGGUUCGAUUCCGGAGAGGGAGCCUGAGAAACGGCUACCACAUCCAAGGAAGGCAGCAGGCGCGCAAAUUACCCAAUCCCGACACGGGGAGGUAGUGACAAUAAAUACUGAUACAGGGCUCUUUUGGGUCUUGUAAUUGGAAUGAGUACAAUUUAAACCUCUUAACGAGGAACAAUUGGAGGGCAAGUUUCGCCCCCCCCCAAACAA
rnacentral:rRNA from 1 species